rnacentral:rRNA from 1 species
UGAGGAAUAUUGGUCAAUGGGUGCAAGCCUGAACCAGCCAUCCCGCGUGAAGGACGACUGCCCUAUGGGUUGUAAACUUCUUUUGUAUAGGGAUAAACCUACCCUCGUGAGGGUAGCUGAAGGUACUAUACGAAUAAGCACCGGCUAACUCCGUGCCAGCAGCCGCGGUAAUACGGAGGGUGCAAGCGUUAUCCGGAUUUAUUGGGUUUAAAGGGUCCGUAGGCGGACUUAUAAGUCAGUGGUGAAAGCCUGUCGCUUAACGAUAGAACUGCCAUUGAUACUGUAAGCCUUGAGUAUAUUUGAGGUAGCUGGAAUAAGUAGUGUAGCGGUGAAAUGCGUAGAUAUUACUUAGAACACCAAUUGCGAAGGCAGGUUACCAAGAUAUAACUGACGCUGAGGGACGAAAGCGUGGGGAGC